AUACGGUCUACUGAUGGUGACAACUCUGUUGCAGAGAGGAAUCAAACCAGGUUUCAAACAAGUGUUUGAGCAUUCACAGAAUGCGAGAUGUUGCUGAUGCACUGCAAAGUGUAGCAAGACUUAUCUGUGUUCUCAUAACUUACACAGCAUGCGUCACCACGCUAAGGCGUAAUCCAUUAAUGAGCAUCCUAGUUUACCAAACUUGUUGUUAAAUCUUCAGGGCUUACCUGUUCUGGCCUCUGCUUCUUUUUGUGGUCGUCCAAAGCCUAGUUCUGACAACAGAGGUUAAAAGGAGCAUUUUGGACUUGCGUGUUCAGGACUGAGCAGGGCGGAAGGGAAGCAGCCAUAAUGGAACUCAACAUUUCAUCCAGGUCUAAGUGACAGGGGGGCAAAGUGUGACUUGGGAGACUUGGCUUUUAACCCAGCUUGUCCUGGCUAUAAAACCUGGUUCCUAUAUUCUCAGGAGAGAAUCUUCAGAGAGAUUUAUGCUCUGUGAAACACAGAAAUACUGAUCCAAGCAUUCAGCUAUUCCAGGAUUUGAAUGAUCCUUUUUAUGUAUUGACAACUUUCUAACAAAGUCAGGUCUAUUUCUACGUUAAGGAUCUGACUGAAGUUCUGUCAAUUAGAUUGUCUUUCUCAGCACAUAAAGAGCCUGACUCUUAGAAUAUUACAAAUCAGGUUUCAGUUCUCAUAUG